rnacentral:rRNA from 1 species
GAUUGAUUCUUAAUUGACUGAGCGGCGGACGGGUGAGUAACGCGUGGGUGACCUGCCCCAUACCGGGGGAUAACAGCUGGAAACGGCUGCUAAUACCGCAUAAGCGCACAGAGCUGCAUGGCUCGGUGUGAAAAACUCCGGUGGUAUGGGAUGGGCCCGCGUCUGAUUAGGCAGUUGGCGGGGUAACGGCCCACCAAACCGACGAUCAGUAGCCGGCCUGAGAGGGCGACCGGCCACAUUGGGACUGAGACACGGCCCAAACUCCUACGGGAGGCAGCAGUGGGGAAUAUUGCACAAUGGGGGAAACCCUGAUGCAGCGACGCCGCGUGAGUGAAGAAGUAUUUCGGUAUGUAAAGCUCUAUCAGCAGGGAAGAUAAUGACGGUACCUGACUAAGAAGCCCCGGCUAACUACGUGCCAGCAGCCGCGGUAAUACGUAGGGGGCAAGCGUUAUCCGGAUUUACUGGGUGUAAAGGGAGCGUAGACGGCAAGGCAAGUCUGAUGUGAAAACCCAGGGCUUAACCCUGGGACUGCAUUGGAAACUGUCUGGCUCGAGUGCCGGAGAGGUAAGCGGAAUUCCUAGUGUAGCGGUGAAAUGCGUAGAUAUUAGGAAGAACACCAGUGGCGAAGGCGGCUUACUG